rnacentral:rRNA from 1 species
AGAGUUGAUCAUGGCUCAGGAUGAACGCUAGCUACAGGCUAACACAUGCAAGUCGAGGGGCAGCAUAUCGAAAGCUUGCUUUGAUGAUGGCGACCGGCGCACGGGUGAGUAACGCGUAUCCAACCUUCCCUAUACUAGAGGAUAGCCCGGCGAAAGUCGGAUUAAUACUCUAUGUUGUAUUUCGAGGACAUCUGAAUAAUACCAAAGGUUUACCGGUAUAGGAUGGGGAUGCGUCUGAUUAGGUUGUUGGCGGGGUAACGGCCCACCAAGCCCACGAUCAGUAGGGGUUCUGAGAGGAAGGUCCCCCACAUUGGAACUGAGACACGGUCCAAACUCCUACGGGAGGCAGCAGUGAGGAAUAUUGGUCAAUGGACGAGAGUCUGAACCAGCCAAGUAGCGUGCCAGGAUGACGGCCCUAUGGGUUGUAAACUGCUUUUAUACAGGGAUAAAGUGCACUACGUGUAGUGUUUUGUAGGUACUGUAUGAAUAAGGACCGGCUAAUUCCGUGCCAGCCGCCGC